GACGUAGGGCGCGAGCGUUGUCCGGAUUUAUUGGGCGUAAAGAGCUCGUAGGCGGUCCGGUAAGUCCGCUGUGAAAGUCGGGGGCUCAACCCUCGAAUGCCGGUGGAUACUGUCGGGCUAGAGUGCGGAAGAGGCGAGUGGAAUUCCUGGUGUAGCGGUGAAAUGCGCAGAUAUCAGGAGGAACACCAAUGGCGAAGGCAGCUCGCUGGGACGUUACUGACGCUGAGACGCGAAAGCGUAGGGAGCAAACAGG
rnacentral:rRNA from 1 species